AACGAACGCUGGCGGCAUGCCUAACACAUGCAAGUCGAACGAGACCUUCGGGUCUAGUGGCGCACGGGUGCGUAACGCGUGGGAACCUGCCCUUAGGUUCGGAAUAACUCCCCGAAAGGGGUGCUAAUACCGGAUAAUGUCUUCGGACCAAAGAUUUAUCGCCUUUGGAUGGGCCCGCGUUGGAUUAGCUAGUUGGUAGGGUAAAAGCCUACCAAGGCGACGAUCCAUAGCUGGUCUGAGAGGAUGAUCAGGCACACUGGGACUGAGACACGGCCCAGACUCCUACGGGAGGCAGCAGUGGGGAAUAUUGGACCAUGGGCGAAAGCCUGAUCCAGCAAUGCCGCGUGAGUGAUGAAGGCCUUAGGGUUGUAAAGCUCUUUUACCCGGGAUGAUAAUGACAGUACCGGGAGAAUAAGCUCCGGCUAACUCCGUG
rnacentral:rRNA from 1 species